UUAACUAUUAUAUAGUACUCAGACGACACUAAUAUUCAGAGUUUGAGGUCCUCUGGCGGGCGCGUACCAGCCGGAGCCGGUAGCCUGACCGAGGCCGGGCGGCCCGCCAAAGCAACAGAGAUAUGAUAACAUAGGGUGGGAAUUCUCCCCGUGAGGGGAAAGAACUCGUUAAUGAUCCCUCCGCAGGUUCACCUACGGAGA
rnacentral:misc_RNA from 1 species